rnacentral:rRNA from 1 species
CUCCGCUCCAUCGCAUGGUGGGGUGGGAAAUGCUUUUGCGGCAUGGGAUGGGGUCGCGUCCUAUCAGCUUGUUGGCGGGGUGAUGGCCCACCAAGGCGUUGACGGGUAGCCGGCCUGAGAGGGUGACCGGCCACAUUGGGACUGAGAUACGGCCCAGACUCCUACGGGAGGCAGCAGUGGGGAAUAUUGCACAAUGGGCGCAAGCCUGAUGCAGCGACGCCGCGUGCGGGAUGGAGGCCUUCGGGUUGUAAACCGCUUUUGUUCAAGGGCAAGGCACGGUUUCGGCCGUGUUGAGUGGAUUGUUCGAAUAAGCACCGGCUAACUACGUGCCAGCAGCCGCGGUAAUACGUAGGGUGCGAGCGUUAUCCGGAUUUAUUGGGCGUAAAGGGCUCGUAGGCGGUUCGUCGCGUCCGGUGUGAAAGUCCAUCGCCUAACGGU